CACGUGGGUGACCUGCCCUGUACUUCGGGAUAAGCCUGGGAAACUGGGUCUAAUACCGGAUAUGACCUUCUCCUGCAUGGGGGUUGGUGGAAAGCUUUUGCGGUACAGGAUGGGCCCGCGGCCUAUCAGCUUGUUGGUGGGGUAAUGGCCUACCAAGGCGACGACGGGUAGCCGGCCUGAGAGGGCGACCGGCCACACUGGGACUGAGACACGGCCCAGACUCCUACGGGAGGCAGCAGUGGGGAAUAUUGCACAAUGGGCGCAAGCCUGAUGCAGCGACGCCGCGUGAGGGAUGACGGCCUUCGGGUUGUAAACCUCUUUCAGUAGGGACGAAGCGAAAGUGACGGUACCUACAGAAGAAGCACCGGCCAACUACGUGCCAGCAGCCGCGGUAAUACGUAGGGUGCGAGCGUUGUCCGGAAUUACUGGGCGUAAAGAGCUCGUAGGCGGUUUGUCACGUCGUCUGUGAAAACCCGAGGCUUAACCUCGGGCCUGCAGGCGAUACGGGCAGACUUGAGUACUGUAGGGGAGACUGGAAUUCCUGGUGUAGCGGUGGAAUGCGCAGAUAUCAGGAGGAACACCGGUGGCGAAGGCGGGUCUCUGGGCAGUAACUGACGCUGAGGAGCGAAAGCGUGGGUAGCGAACAGGAUUAGAUACCCUGGUAGUCCACGCCGUAAACGGUGGGUACUAGGUGUGGGUUUCCUUCCACGGGAUCCGUGCCGUAGCUAACGCAUUAAGUACCCCGCCUGG
rnacentral:rRNA from 1 species